GGCGGUGCGGCGAAAUGGUAUCGCGUCUGACUACGAUUAGAAAUCCCAUCAGGAGAUUGCAGGUUUGACCCCUGUCUAGGUUA